rnacentral:rRNA from 1 species
AGCAGUGGGGAAUCUUGGACAAUGGGGGCAACCCUGAUCCAGCCAUGCCGCGUGAGUGAUGAAGGCCCUAGGGUCGUAAAGCUCUUUCGCCUGUGAUGAUAAUGACAGUAGCAGGUAAAGAAACCCCGGCUAACUCCGUGCCAGCAGCCGCGGUAAUACGGAGGGGGUUAGCGUUGUUCGGAAUUACUGGGCGUAAAGCGCGCGUAGGCGGACUAUUAAGUCAGGGGUGAAAUCCCGGGGCUCAACCCCGGAACUGCCCUUGAUACUGGUAGUCUUGAGUUCGAGAGAGGUGAGUGGAAUUCCGAGUGUAGAGGUGAAAUUCGUAGAUAUUCGGAGGAACACCAGUGGCGAAAGCGAC